AAAAUGUAAUUAUAAUAAUAAAUAACACAGCCCCGUUUCUCCCUUUCUCUUUCCCUUUCUCUUUUAGCUUUUCCUCGCCCAGGCUGCUCCUCCUGCUGCGAGAUUCUUUUCAGUGGGCUACAAAUAAAAUAAGAAAAACCAAUGAAUCUAAAAUCAAGCUGCUAUCCCUUGGACCUGCUUAUUGCUAUCAUAGCUCUUGCUUGCAUCGAUGGUGCUCUUGCCUCUAUUGCAUUCUCUCAGCUUAUCAGGAUUUUUCUGCGAAAUCAACAAUCUGGAUGGACACGACAAAAAGUACUCCAUCUGAUGGUCGGAUCUUGCAACUUGGGUUACUUCAUCUACUUUAUAUCCACCAUCAUGGCUACUUGUAAUAGGUGGCUUUGCUGGUCUCAUGCAUGUGGUUUUAUCCUAAUGGCUUUUCCCAAUAUUCUGUUUUUUGCAGUGUUUCUACUUCUUCUGUCUUUCUGGGUCGACCUUUGCCAUCAGGCAAAUGAAGAAGAAGAUGAUGAUGAAGAUGAAGAAAAUAGCUCUCAACAGCCUUUGUUGGAAAGUUCAAAGAAUAAACCUGGUUCAAUGAACACAGAUAGUUAUCGGAGAUGCUGCUCAUUCCGUGGCAUUCAAGUUGGCAGUCAUCAGAAAUUUGUUAUCGCAGUUGUGGUGUUGAUCUUUUUCUUAAUGCUGUCAUUUGCUGUAGUAAUCUGGAUUGGAGCGGGAAAUAAUCCAAUUGAUUCUUCAGUAGUUGCUCGGGUAUAUGUAGAUCUUUUUGCUACUGCAAUCCUUGUACUGGGAGGGGCUUUGGGUUGCUAUGGUCUUAUCCUAUUUCUUAAAUUGAGGAAAGUAAGGUCUGAGACAGCUUCAUCUGAGAUGCGGAAGGUUGCUGGCCUAGCAGUUGUCUCUGUUGUAUGUUUUAUGUCAAGUGCUGCGGUAGCUCUUCUUACAGAUAUACCUCUUCUAUAUCAUUGGAGUAUGAAGAAUAUAAAUGAAGUGAAAACACUAGUUCUUCUAGUUUUUUACUAUUUUAUAGGUCCAUGUUUUCAAAUGCCGGACUUAGUAGCAUUAACUUGUGGCACCAAGGUUCAGAUUAACCGAAUUCCUCAAGGUGCUAUUAUGCCUUUGCUAUGAAACUGGAAGUAUAAGAGCUGUAUCUAUGUUAUGAAUCCAUCACCAAUGGAAGAAGUUUGACAGUUGGAGAAGGGGGCAGGGCGUGUGAUAUUCAAAUGUAUCACUGUGCUAUUACACUAUCGGGUUUGGGAGGAUAUCAAUUUUAUACAUCCAUGCUAAAUGUUGAGAAUUAAAGAUUUUACUCAACUAGCCAGAUUGGAUUCUUUGAGAGAUACUUCCCUUGAUAACAGAAAGCGACCCAUGAUUUAAUAGGUUUUAAUUGAUAAAAUUAUUUUGUCAUUUACUAUUUCUUUAGUCCUUGGAUUUUAAGGGACGGGUCUUAUUUUUUGCUAUUAUGGAGGCAAAAUUAUUUUUUAUUCAGCUGAAAGACACAUGUUUUUGUUAAUUUGUCAGCGGCAUGUUUAUUAUUGCUAUAAGCUUGUUUUUGUCAGGUUCAUCAGUGCCCUCAGCCUUUGUAUUAUGGGUCAUGAGAGAAUUGCCAGCCUCGGUUACAAAUAUGCAAGCACAAUCAAGAGCAGUAACUUUCAUCAGUUAUGGGGCGGAAGAAACACUGAAUCCUCGGCACUGGGUUGCUGCAACAACUUCAAAGAAUCAGGUGUUAAAAGCGAGUCCAAUAUAAGCAUGAUUACAGCACCAGUGCUAAAGAAGGCGGAAAGUGUAGAAAGCUGUAUUUGUUACGAGUGGAAGUUCAAUUGUGCAAUACGAGGAGCCAGCUGCUUCCUUCACUCCUCACGUUUAAAUUACGUACUCCCGAUUGGGUAUCAAUUUUUGACAUCAAUGAUUGUACAUAACUGUUAUUAUAGUAAUCGAGACUAAUGUUUUCGCAACUUAUAGUUCCACUUUCUUAUCGCCUCCA